CCGAAGGCGCCCUUCGCGCGCGUGCGCAGGGCCCUUUCGCGAUAGAGCGCGCGGAGGACAAGUUGUGUCUCCAGCUCCUAGGACAGUGCCUGGUAUUGACUCUGCAUUCAGUAAAUCUUUGUUACAUGUAUAAAGGACAGAAUGAACCAAAAGACCGUAACCGUGGCUGGAACAGAGGAUGUGAAGCCAAGUGUGGUCUGAGAUGAGGCAGCGGUCAGACCCCGCAGAGAUUGGAGCACAAGGGAAGCCAGAGAGCCUACGUGGUAAGGAACUGAGGCCUCCAGCCAGAGCCAAUGAGGGACUGAUGCCUGCCAACAACCAUGUGUGUGAGCUUGGACAUGGAUCCUCUAGCCCCACAUGACUGUACCCCUGAUGGAGAGCUUGACUUCAGCCUCACAAGAGACUCAGCAAAAACCAUCCAGCUGAACUGCUCCCAGAUUCCUGAAUCUCAGAAAUGGUGUGACAUGAUAAAUGUUAGUUGUUUCAA